AAAAAUGGGAAAACAAAAAGUGGUCAGGAUGGAUUCCAGAGUAGUUGGAGUUAUAGGGAAAUCUUCACUGCCAAUGUUCUCUAGAUCCUCAGCACUACGCCCUGGCCAGCCCCGAAGUCGUGGAGCCCCCCUCCUGCCCUGGGCUGGCCACCUCUCUCACUGGAUGAGUGAUGUGCUCUGGCUCAAAGGCUGAGGGGGCAGGUGGAGGAUGCCUGCCGCGGAACGUGGGUGCUCCCUCCAUCAGAAUCUUCUCACUGGGAGAGGAUCUGCGGCCGUCACCUGCAGCCCCGGUCCUGGCAGAGCUUUUGGAGAAAAUGGUCUUCGCUGAAACAUGGGCACUCGUGGGAAGUGCUUUCUGUUCCCCAGGCUCAGAGACAGGUCUCCCUAUGGUGUUGCCCAGGCUGGUCUUGAACUCCUAGCCUCAAGUGAUCCUCCUGCUUCAGCCUGCCAAAGUGCUGGAUUACAGGUGUAAGCCACCUCUGGACAUCUUAUCUGUGAAAUUUUAGGCAUUGAUCAGUGCAGAAAGAACCAUGAACUGCAGGAUGUUCUCAGAGACUCUGACAUUAUGGCCCACAAGAAGCUGCCCACUCAGCUUCUAGUCAGUUAGGUGUGGACUUCAUCAAUCACAGAAUGAAGACUCAGACAGCCUCCCAGGAGGACACAAAGUCAGCCUCAGAGAGGCAUGGAGGUGUUAAAGAGGGAAGUGCCUGCUAGAAUUUCAGUGGGUUGGAUAUGCUCUUUAACGAUGCACAAAUCAUAGGUAUACAUUUUCUGACAAUUGGAAUCUAUUAUUACUCUUGAACCAGCUGUUCCCCAGGCUGUUUCCUGUAAUGGAAGGGAUACUUUGAGUUUAUAUCUUUUCAAUCCUACAUCCUCAGAAAUCUACACUGAUACUAAUAAAGGGACUCAUUUCUCCUAUAAGAACCCCUA
rnacentral:lncRNA from 1 species